UACAGAGGUCCCAAGGCGUUGUUCGGAUUCAUUGGGCGUAAAGGGUGCGUAGGCGGCGCGGUAAGUCGGGUGUGAAAUCUCGGAGCUUAACUCCGAAACUGCGAUUCGAUACUGGCCGGUGCUUGAGGACUGGAGAGGAGACUGGAAUUUACGGUGUAGCGGUGAAAUGCGAGAUAUCGGAGAAGACGCACUAGUGGAGCGAGCGGUGCUGACGU
rnacentral:rRNA from 1 species